ACAUAGUGACGCACUGACAGACUGAGAGCUCUUUCUUGAGUCUAUAAUUGGUGGUUCAUGCCAGUUAAUAUUUGGCGCGUUGCCUGGUCAGGACGACUCCGGUAACUAAUGAGACCUCAGCCUGCUACAUAGUGAUACCCAGUUAGCUGGGUAGCGCACUUAUUAGAGGGACUAUUGGCGACUAGCCAAUGGAAGCAUGAGGCAAUAACAGGUCUGUGAUGCCCUAAGAUGUUAUGGGCCGCACGCGCGCUACAUUGAUGCAUUCAACGAGCCUAGCCUUGGCCGAGAGGCCCGGGUAAUCUUUGAAAGUGCAUCGUGAUGGGGAUAGAUUAUUGCAAUUAUUAAUCUUCAACGAGGAAUGCCUAGUAAGCGCAAGUCAUCAGCUUUAAUCACACUAGAGCUGCAGAGCAGGCCGGAAAAGGGUCACCUGCUAGUCCCGGGAGCGGAUGGGUUCUCCAGCCACCCGGGGCGACACCUUCAAAUUGCCCGGACCUCCCGUCAGGCCCCCGGUACCGUUUCUCGGUGGGAAACCUCCGAGUUACACCGCGGCGAAAGCCGUGGGCAUGGUAACAACCCGGUGGGAUAGGGACAAUGGGCAGCCAAGCCUUAAGGGAAGCUUGCCUUCCUAUGGGUGCAGUUCACAGACUAGAUGUGGGUGGGUCUGGCCUUGUCGGCCGGGCUUAAGAUAUAGUCGGCCCGCUCCGAGAGGAGAGCCCAAGGGAGGAACUCUUUCUGUGAAGAGACAGAGUGAGAGCCCUUGGGGGGUGGGGUAGUAGUCGAUUGUCGGACGGCAUGAUAACACUCAGGCCUCCCACC
rnacentral:rRNA from 1 species